GAAAUCUGCACGUGAAACAUGAGGAGUCCAGCAGCCAGAGGGAUGAGUGGACAGCGGGGAUAAAAACAUAAAGUCUUCUUCCUGUGUUUGUAUGACAGUGAACCCUGGAUUGAUUAUGAGCACGAUGAUGGCAGCGAUCACAACGCCGGCACAAGUGGAAGCAACAGAAAGAUGCCCUCGGAGCUGCUGCCGCACGAAUGCAGAUGCCAUGCACAAAGCCCAAGGCCAGGAUGCUGGUAGAAUGCAGGCAACUGAUUGAUGGGAGCGAGGCGGCCUCUCUCGGGGACCAAUCCCUGCUGCCAUUACUCACCCUGGAAGGAACUGUAACUUCGGGAAACAACACCUCCAAAGGAACUUGCUAUAUGUUUCACAGCUGAUGUGCCAGAUUAGUGGCAUAUUUUUAGUUCCUGUAAAGGAUAACUGCAGCACUCUUUCACAUCAGUCUUACUGUCAACAAAUGUUAUAUAAAGACCAACAAUAAUGAGUGUUUCCCAGCUUUACAACUGGAGCACUGCUCCCAACGGAACAACUAAGUAUAAUUCAUGCUUCAGUAACUUAA